rnacentral:lncRNA from 1 species
GCAAGCAGUGAAUAAUGACCUGUGUUAUGAUGAGAUCUAUAUUUCUCUUGUGACCUGAGAAUGUUCCUCUUCCUCUGUCAAUCCCAAAUUUGAUGCCAUAAUCACUGAAAACAGUAGGAGAGAAGCACUCCUUGUGCUCCUUUUGCACAAGCGUAGCUUGCCAAGCAGUGACCUGUCCGCACCCCGGAUCCGAACUGGUGAACCCCAGGCCACCAAAACGAACAUGCGCACUUAACCGCUGCACCACCAGGCCAGCUCUAAAUGUUUCCAGGUCUCUGAGUCUGCAUCAAUUCCACCAGUUCUGACCCUGGAACUUUAGUGAAUGACCCACCACUCAAGGCCCUCCAGCUGCAUCAGUCUUCUCUUACAAGGUCCAGAUGGAGCCAUCAGGUUUGAUGAUAUCAAGAUUGGUCUUGUUGCUCCAUUCCUUCAGGGAAGUAAGAUUCCACGCGCUCUGAUGCCGCCAUAGAGAAGAUCCAAUAAUCCACCCGUGUGUGCUGGCUGCUGACCAUUCGCUGUUCCACCUGGCUCUUGAAGGGAGAAACACUGCUGUCCACUGAGGCCUCCUGUCCCCUUGAUCUCCAUUUCAUCUUCCAGAUGGGACUGCAGGCAUUCGCUGAUUGUCUAGGCUUCUUCCCUGGUCUGUCUCACCCCCACCUGGAUGUUCUUUGCUCAC